AACAAUUUUGAUAAUACUGAUAUGAAAUUUAUUUUUUUUUGCUCUGAACUAAAUGAACCAAUGAUGCAAUUAUAUUGAUAAUUUAGUUUUAAAUACAAAACAUGUAAAAAAAUUUACAAAAGUAUUCAAAUUCAAUAUUUUAUUAAACAAAAACCAAAAAGAAAGAAACAAAGUUCUCGUGUUUGAACAAGUUUUGUUUUGAUUUAUAUCAUGGCUGGUUGUGAAGUAUUUUUUGCGUGUUUUAUUUAAUUCAGUGAUCCGUAGCCUAAUUAAAGUUUAAAUUAUUGAAGCACGCAUUUUUAAAUAAGUAAAACGUAAAAUAAAAGUUUUCUAAAGCCAAAAUAUGAAAUUGAAGAGGGUGAUACAGUAAUACUUCAUUGCAUUGUCAAUUCGAAGCACGCAAUAGAAGCUACGCCAACAAUGGUCAACAUCAAUGGCGGAACCAUUGAAUACAUAUUUCAAACCUCAUAUGGCGCGUUAAAGGUACCCAAACUUAUUGGUGUCACUUAUGGUAGCAGCGUAGAAUUUUCGAAUCGAUGGAAUAUGUGCUGCAUGCAAAUCCAGAACUAUGGAUGCAAACGCUGCUACAUCGAACACAAAUCAUUUACAUACCAGAUAUUAGGUUUAAUGUCAAUUUUUUACGUGCAAUUAAACCUUUUGCUCAACACAAGCACGAGAAUUGGAAGGAAGCAAGGCACGAGGAAUUUAGGUGAUUUUGUAACCGUUUAUCAUCGCGACGUGUGUCAACUGGGUUUUGCCAAUGAGCUAGAGGGCAAAGCAAAUGCAGUUUUUUUGGACUUACCGGCACCUCAGUUGGUCGUGCCAUUAGCAGCUAAAACACAGAAAUUUAAGGAAUGACUUUUUUGAUUCAUCUUCACCAUGUAUUGAGAAAUCAUAACGUUGUUGUAUCGCUUUAAAAGGACAUGGAUUCAACGAAAUUAGUUCAGUGGAAACACAACAGCAAGAGUAUGGAUGUUAAGUCUAGAACUUUGCCCGUGCUAGAUUUAGAAUUCCUGAAACAUAAGAAACCCUCCUCCCAGAAGUUGGAUGAAUCUAGUACUAGUGAAAUUAAUGAAAGAACAGAUCUGACAAAAACUCCUAAAGAAACCAAAAGAGUCCUCACAUAAUGUGCGCGGCUUACACUUCCAGGCCGCUCGUGGUAUUUGACAUUUGCCACUCUUCCUCCAGCCUUUGUCAGAUAGCAAAAAUUGUUCAACUAUUCAAUACGUUUUACAUAUGUAUAUAUUGUAGUACGUUAAUACAUGUAUAAAUUAAAUAUAAUAAUAAACACCUAAAUGGCAUGAUAUUAUCAAUAAAUAUGAUAUAUAAUUAA